rnacentral:misc_RNA from 1 species
CCGAGUUUACAACUCCCAAACCCCAUGUGAACCUCAUACCAGUCGUUGCUUCGGCGGUACCGCCCCGGCGCCCUCGGGCCCGGAAUCAGGCGCCCGCCGGAGGCCCGCAAACUCUCCGUGUAUACCGCCCCCCGGCGGUGGCAUUAUCUGAGUAAAAAAGAAAAAACGCAUCA